rnacentral:rRNA from 1 species
GUGCCAGCCGCCGCGGUAAUACGUAGGGACCGAGCGUUGUCCGGAUUCAUUGGGCGUAAAGAGCUCGUAGGCGGCUGCUCAAGUCGAAUGUGAAAACUCGGGGCUCAACCUCGAGCCUGCAUUCGAUACUGGGCGGCUAGAGUCUGGUAGGGGGAUCUGGAAUUCCUGGUGUAGCGGUGGAAUGCGCAGAUAUCAGGAGGAACACCGGUGGCGAAGGCGGGAUCCUGGGCCAGUACUGACGCUGAGGAGCGAAAGCGUGGGGAGCAAACAGGAUUAGAAACCCGAGUAGUCC